rnacentral:rRNA from 1 species
AGUGAACGCUGGCGGUAGGCCUAACACAUGCAAGUCGAACGGCAGCACAGUAAGAGCUUGCUCUUACGGGUGGCGAGUGGCGGACGGGUGAGGAAUACAUCGGAAUCUACUUUUUCGUGGGGGAUAACGUAGGGAAACUUACGCUAAUACCGCAUACGACCUACGGGUGAAAGCAGGGGAUCUUCGGACCUUGCGCGAUUGAAUGAGCCGAUGUCGGAUUAGCUAGUUGGCGGGGUAAAGGCCCACCAAGGCGACGAUCCGUAGCUGGUCUGAGAGGAUGGUCAGCCACACUGGAACUGAGACACGGUCCAGACUCCUACGGGAGGCAGCAGUGGGGAAUAUUGGACAAUGGGCGCAAGCCUGAUCCAGCCAUACCGCGUGAGUGAAGAAGGCCUUCGGGUUGUAAAGCCCUUUUGUUGGGAAAGAAAAGCAGCAGGUUAAUAUCCCGCUGUUCUGACGGUACCCAAAGAAUAAGCACCGGCUAACUUCGUG